AAGAUGGUAAUAUAAUUUUGUUACACAGAAGAAUAGCAAUUUCCUCGAACGCGACAUUAGUUUCAUGAUAGUCUUUGCUUAUCGUGUCGCGGCACGUUUAAAUUCCUGUUUAUCGAGACACCGAGUAAAUUGCCUUUGAAGGAGUGCUCUACGUCGCGGAGAGAUUUAUCGUUGCACCAACUUCCGUGGACUUUUCCUCGUAGGAAGCGAGACGAUGCUCUCACGUCUGUUGCGACGUGACGGCAUAACUUUGCAUAGACCGAUAUGAGUCACCUACACGUCAUUCGUAUGUACAAACCUUUCCAGUCGAAUCUUAUGAUCGAGAUAAGGCGUUCGAGUGUUCGGCUACGAGCCACGACUCGUUGGCAUCUGCAUCGCGUGAUAAGCUGCGACGCGAAUACGAAAGAGUGUGUCCCUUCUCUGCAAAUUUAUAGGGGAUCUUCUUCCUAUACUGUUUCACCGUGCAAACGCACCGAAACCGAUCGCAUUUUAAUGCUACGAUCACGCAGGAAAUUGUAAUUUUUGGGAAAAUGUUUAUUCAUCUUUUCUAUGAGUAACCUUCAGUGUUUGGAAAUUAACCUUUAAAGGUGUCUAUAAAUUGAAUAAUAUAACAAAGAUUUCAUAUAAAGGUAAAAAAGUUCGAACAAAAUAAGUAAUUUUUCAAAAAUUUAUUUCAAAUAAAGUUGCGACAUAAUAUCCUCCUGAGGUUACAGUGGUACUAAUCUGCAUUCUAAGACGAACUUCUUUUAUAGUAGCCAACGAAGGCUUCUGAUUGGUCAGCUAAGUCUUCAAAGUUUUAGUUGAUCAGUUGACCAAUCAAAACAUCGGCAAUGACCACGUGACAGGGGUAGUAUAUAAGGACGGUGCCCCCAUAAUUCACUGUUCACUUCGAACUUUCGAAGAGUACAGAGUGUAACAUAGUGUUUUAUUAUAAAAUAACCAUCAAACGCAUUUUACAAAGGUUAUUCUUCGUCCUCUUACCUCGUCGUCUCUUCUGCGAAUCAGAACUGUCGAAUUUGAACCUCAUGUCGCCAUCUUUGUUAAUCGAUCGAAGGAUCGAUUAUAGCACUUAUUGUGACAGGACGUGUUGACAGCUUCUUCUACUUUUAGAGGUGUUUAGUAUGAGACUACAUUAAGAGGGAGAGAGAAGAGUAGGAAUGGCGCAAAAACGCCAGAUUCGAAAUUGCUAGCGCUCUCUAUACUCCACGAGGCAAAUUGAAAUACGGGGGCACAGGGAACAACUGACUGCACAAGUUUGUUGAAGCUGCUGGACCUUCCUUGAUGACAUUCGAGAUGACCUUCUUGAUGACUUCCUUCUUCUCCUAUAUGGCAAUCUCCUAGCUGGUUGUUGGCAUCCUCCUACCUGGUUGUUGAGCAUCCCACUACUUGACUGUUGCAAGCAGAUUUUCGCUACUAUCGGUGAGUUGCAUGCUUUAUGGUUCCUCCGGUGCCCAAUCAUGCCGUAGGACGAAUGGUCCGAAACGGCACGGGUCACUGGUUGUAUAUGUGGUUUUGGCGAGCAUAGUGACCAUGGGUAUGAUUAUACUCAUGAGUAGUAACACUUUUAUUGUGUUUCAUUUUCUUAGUUCAGGCUAGGUCUUCUUGUACUUCGCGUUUAUUAAUACAAAUAUUAUUUUAAAUCUGUAUAUUUAA